rnacentral:rRNA from 1 species
GAAUUCACUAGUGAUUAGACUUUGAUCAUGGCUCAGGAUGAACGCUGGCGGUGCGCCUAACACAUGCAAGUCGAACGAAGGAUUGUGAAGGAACUUUACGGAGGGAAAACACAAUGACUGAGUGGCGGACGGGUGAGUAACGCGUAGGGAACCUGGCCCUUACAGGGGGAUAACAGAUGGAAACAACUGCUAAUACCGCAUAAGCACCCAGCCUCGCAUGAGGCAGAGUGAAAAACUAAGGUGGUAAGGGAUGGCCCUGCGUCCGAUUAGCUAGUUGGUAUGGUAACGGCAUACCAAGGCGACGAUCGGUAGCCGGCCUGAGAGGGUGGACGGCCACAUUGGGACUGAGACACGGCCCAAACUCCUACGGGAGGCAGCAGUGGGGGAUAUUGCACAAUGGGGGAAACCCUGAUGCAGCGACACCGCGUGGGUGAAGAAGCGCUUCGGCGUGUAAAGCCCUAUCAGUGGGGAAGAAAAAGGACGGUACCCAAAGAAGAAGCACCGGCUAAAUACGUGCCAGCAGCCGCGGUAAUACGUAUGGUGCAAGCGUUAUCCGGAAUGACUGGGUGUAAAGGGAGCGUAGACGGUUGUACAAGUCUGAUGUGAAAGCCCACGGCUCAACUGUGGGAGUGCAUUGGAAACUGUAGAACUAGAGUAUCGGAGAGGCAAGUGGAAUUCCUAGUGUAGCGGUGAAAUGCGUAGAUAUUAGGAGGAACACCAGUGGCGAAGGCGGCUUGCUGGACGAAAACUGACGUUGAGGCUCGAAAGCGUGGGGAGCAAACAGGAUUAGAUACCCUGGUAGUCCACGCUGUAAACGAUGAAUACUAGGUGUUGGGGCCCGAAG